rnacentral:rRNA from 1 species
UCGAACGCUUUUUCUUUCACCGGAGCUUGCUCCACCGAAAGAAAAAGAGUGGCGAACGGGUGAGUAACACGUGGGUAACCUGCCCAUCAGAAGGGGAUAACACUUGGAAACAGGUGCUAAUACCGUAUAACACUAUUUUCCGCAUGGAAGAAAGUUGAAAGGCGCUUUUGCGUCACUGAUGGAUGGACCCGCGGUGCAUUAGCUAGUUGGUGAGGUAACGGCUCACCAAGGCAACGAUGCAUAGCCGACCUGAGAGGGUGAUCGGCCACACUGGGACUGAGACACGGCCCAGACUCCUACGGGAGGCAGCAGUAGGGAAUCUUCGGCAAUGGACGAAAGUCUGACCGAGCAACGCCGCGUGAGUGAAGAAGGUUUUCGGAUCGUAAAACUCUGUUGUUAGAGAAGAACAAGGAUGAGAGUAAAAUGUUCAUCCCUUGACGGUAUCUAACCAGAAAGCCACGGCUAACUACGUGCCAGCAGCC